UUUACAUUUUCCAAACCAUUGACGUAUGUGAAAGAAAACAGAUGAUAAAUCUUCAUUCUCAGCGCACAUUUCAAGUCAUCGCUUCAAUUAUUCCUAUCAGUCCUGUUGUCUGCUGCACUCCCUUUUCUUUUUUUUUUUUACCUCCCCCAACAUAUGAAUGAUACUUCUCAAGUUUUCAGAAGUUCUACAAAGCAGCGCUUUUUGCGCACCCAAUCUGCAGGUGCAGCAAAGACCUUGGCAAGGGGCAAAUGGAUUAUCACUUACGAAAACAGUUACAUCGUAUUCUUCAUAUUUCUUCAAGGUCUUGAGCAAGGCAUAAAUUCUCAUGAAAACGAAGCUAUUGCAGUCCCAGCAUCAGACAGCUAAACAGGUUUAUUCUUUAUACUCUCACCACAUCUUGAUUUGGCUCGUUGUUCCUUUUUCCUAUGCAUAUACUUCUUUGAGAGUUUGAUCUAAAGAGGCAUAGAGCAUGGGAAAAUGGGGCGACUGAGGUACUUCGCCAUUCAUUCCGAACAGCGCUGUCGAAAUGACGAUCGAAAUGCAUGGAGGAAAUAGACAAACAAAGAAAUGAAAGGUUAGUUUAUGUAACACUCACUUCACCAUCAAAAAAAUGAACACAAGGUAGUGGUAUUACUUAAUCUCAUUUCUAAUUCACUGUGAUUUAAUUCUGUGAGAGAAUUUUAAGUAUCUACUCAAACGUUUAACAUACUGCUUAGUGAACUGUUUCAUCUGUAGCAAAUGCACUGCUAAUAUUUCUGAAUUUGUUAUUCCCAUAAACUUUCAGAAGUAAAGGGAACAGAGUCACAGACUGCAAAAGUACAACACCAAACCUCUCUUGGACUCAGUCUUCACGGACUGCACUGCAAGUCAGGGCAUGGAGGCUUGGUCAUGUAGGCUCAGUCAUGUGCGUGUUAUCCAGGUUGGGUGUCUAAAACGUACAAGUUACUCUUAGGACCCAAUCCUACAAGAUUCUAUGUACCUCAUAUUACGCCAGCUUGUAAAUUCUUGCUUGUUAAAACAGACUUGGUAAAACUUGGUAAAUAGUAAAUCAAGUAAUAAGCAUACUAAUUUUUUUCUUCUCCUUUUAUUCACAGCAUCUUUGAAGAGGAACUGGAGAAUUUUAUUUUCCUGUUAAUGUUUUAUUGCAUUUCUGUUCAGUUUAUUUUGUUUACUCUAGAAAGAGAUGUCAUAUCAGUUCUGUGAAAAAUAUUAUGGAACCUUGUAACUGAAUAUACCACGUGUCAAAUAAAAACCUAAAGUUUCA